rnacentral:lncRNA from 1 species
CACACUCUCUGAGUUCCUCUAUUGACAGGGUUUACCUCCAGACCCACACACUCUCUGAGUUCAUCUAUUGGCAGGGUUUACCUCCAGACCCACACAUUCUCUGAGUUCAUCUAUUGGCAGGGUUUACCUCCAGACCCAUACAUUAUGUCCAUGGUGCUGUCAAAGUGACCAUGUGGUCCAGUAGAUGGAGUGGUUGUGGUGGUAUAAAGGUCCAUAGCUACACAGACUGGGCACAUUAAUCAGUGUCCAAUUUACACAGCACCAUCCAGAGGUGAGGAUGGGUUCUGAACUUUUGAUUGCAAACAUAGAGGGCAUCUGUUAGGGACUGGGUUUACCAGACCUAGGGCUAGGCUAGACAAAGGGUUUACCAGACCUAGGGCUAGGCUAGACGAAGGGUUUACCAGACCUAGGGCUAGGCUAGACGAAGGGUUUACCAGACCUAGGGCUAGGCUAGACGAAGGGUUUACCAGACCUAGGGCUAGGCUAGACGAAGGGUUUACCAGACCUAGGGCUAGGCUAGACAAAGGGUUUACCAGACCUAUGGCUAGGCUAGAUGAAGGGUUUACCAGACCUAGGGCUAGGCUAGACGAAGGGUUUACCAGACCUAGGGCUAGGCUAGACGAAGGGUUUACCAGACCUAGGGCUAGGCUAGACGAAGGGUUUACCAGACCUAGGGCUAGGCUAGACGAAGGGUUUACCAGACCUAGGGCUAGGCUAGACGAAGGGUUUAACAGACGUAGGGCUAGGCUAGACGAAGGGUUUAACAGACGUAGGGCUAGGCUAGACGAAGGGUUUACCAGACCUAGGGCUAGGCUAGACGAAGGGUUUACCAGACCUAGGGCUAGGCUAGACGAAGGGUUUACCAGACCUAGGGCUAGGCUAGACGAAGGGUUUAACAGACGUAGGGCUAGGCUAGACGAAGGGUUUACCAGACCUAGGGCUAGGCUAGACGAAGGGUUUACCAGACCUAGGGCUAGGCUAGACGAAGCGUUUACCAGACCUAGGGCUAGGCUAGACGAAGGGUUUACCAGACCUAGGGCUAGGCUAGACGAAGGGUUUAACAGACGUAGGGCUAGGCUAGACGAAGGGUUUAACAGAUGUAGGGCUAGGCUAGACGAAGGGUUUACCAGACCUAGGGCUAGGCUAGACGAAGGGUUUACCAGACCUAGGGCUAGGCUAGACGAAGGGUUUACCAGACCUAGGUUUAGAGGAAGGGAUCCCCAUGACAACAUCAACUGAACGAAUUACAAUCUGAACAUUCUAAAAUGGUGGUGGGGGGGGGGUGAAUGGAGAAAUGAAUGAACAGGGUAGAGAGAGCCCAUCCCACCCUCACCAGGGCCUCUCGUCUCUGAAGUCAGUGCCCACCCCGUUUCUCUCUCACUCCUCUCCCUGCCUCAUGCUGCCAGCCAGCAGGGAAACUAGGUCACUGAACUCUGUCUGCUCUCUGUUUUUUGUAUAUAAAUUAAAGCCAAAAGGCUGAACUCUCCCUCUCUAGCUGGUCAGCCGUCGCCACAAAGCUUUUCACCAGAGGAGGGUUAGAGUAAAAAAACACAUACAGGCAGGCAGUCACACACACAUACAGGCAGGCAGUCACACACACAAACAGGCAGGCAGUCACACACACAAACAGGCAGCAAGUCACACACACAAACAGGCAGGCAGUCACACACAUACAAACAGGCAGGCACACAAACAGGCAGUCACACACACAAACAGGCAGGCACACACACAUACAGGCAGGCACACACACAUACAGGCAGGCACACACACAUACAGGCAGGCACACACACACAAACAGGCAGGCACACACACAGGCAGGCAGGCAGGCACACACACACACAAACAGGCAGUCACACACACAAACAGGCAGUCACACACACAAACAGGCAGUCACACACAAUCAGGCAUGCAUGCAUGCAGACAGACAGCAUAAAACACUAAAACAUGCAUGCAGACAGACAGACAGGGUAAAACACUAAAACAUGCAAGCGCGCCCUCACACACACAGUAAACAAACCCAGAUAUCCAGUAUAAUCCUCUCUGGCUAAAUAUGUUUGGGAUUUUUAAGGAGCGGGUCAAAAUAAGUCAUGCUGCGCCGGAGGCUGCAGUGCUAUCUCUGACAAGCCAAGGGAGGAUUUGUGCUGUGCAGAUUCACUGCAUAUUUCUAUUUCUGCCUCGGCCACUCUUAAUCACUGUGAUCACACACACGGAGAGUGCUCCACACAUGGACACACUCUCUAGCCUCCUCUUUGGUGGCCAGUAUUUCUAUCUCCCUCCAGGCAGGCAUGGUCGGAGCAAACCACCUCCAUGUCACUGGACCGACCUCCAGUGUGAUUUCAGAGUCAGAUGAUGUCACCAGUAACAGGUGUUAAGUAGGCUAGGUUUCCCUGGCAACAGUGGAAUCCUCAGACAUGACUGUUCUCCCCAGUCCAAUCCCCUCUGUCCAUUCAUCCCUUCAUCUCUCUCUCCUCCUCUGUCUCUCUUGCUCAUUGAGGCCAGAGAGAGAGAGAGGAGUGUUCUGGUAGCGUGGUCCCAGACCUGUUUGUUCAGACUGGCGAAUUCAUGACAAUGACAAUAGGAGUUGGCAAGACAGCACAAACAGAUCUGGGACCAGGCUAGAGUUCUAGGCUGCUGGGUGGAGAAAGCUGAAAUUGACACGGAUCCAAUUCCAGGUUCCACAUAUUUCAAUAUAAAAAUAAGCUGUUUGAAUCAUUAACCCUUUGGGCACGCUCUGUCAUGUAAUGUUCUGCACCUUUGUCUUCUCCAGGAGUGUUUAUAUUAUAGGGGAUAUGCCAAUUGCCAACAGUUGAAAAUGUAAAAUGUGUAAGUCAAUUCAUUCUCAGUGGGUUGAUAUGGUUCUGUAAUUUGCUGGUUUUGAGGACCAAUAGCAAUAACUUUUAUGUUGGAUUUAUGUUUUCUUUUUUAGAAUUAAACCCUAUCUGUCAUAGUUGAAAAGAAGCGGUACUUUUUCCUGAAAGGGUUAAAAACAAAAAGCUAAUUGACGCCAAUGAAUAAUUAAGCUAUAACGAGAGUCACAGUAUGUGCUUAUCACAGGAACAUUUGGGGCACUAAAUUGUGAUAGCUAGCAAUAUUAGUGCCACUUACAAGGGAUGCCAUUCAUUGACUGAAGUGCCACAGCAGUGCGCAAAGGGUUAAUUCAAGACUAAGGCCACAAGAGGCCUGUAUCCAAGUUAUUUUUUGCACAUUUUUUUAGAUAUUUUAAAUGUCAGUAUUUUAAAACAUAUUCCAAGUGCCUUUUAUUAUAAGUGAAAAUAUAGAAGAUAUAAAAGUAUAUGAAAAAUGAAAUAUAUAUAUAUGAAUAUAUAUUUUUUCCUGGCAUCGUGUUCUCGAGGUUCUUGAACAUGCUUAAUUUUAGAGUUGUAAAAGUCUCCAAUUGGUACAACAUUGCUGUGUGCUUCUGUUUUAGAGGAAUUUUAUUACGAUAAUGUCAAUGGAAAGAAAAUGUUUAAUAAAGUCGCAUUUGAUACAAUUUAUUUGUAAUUUUUCAGUUACUACAUCCGGAGUGCUGCAUCACACACACCACACCUUAUAUUGUUUUAAAAUCACAUCUAAAUU